UUAAAUUGAAGAGUUUGAUCAUGGCUCAGAUUGAACGCUGGCGGCAGGCCUAACACAUGCAAGUCGAACGGUAACAGGAAGCAGCUUGCUGCUUCGCUGACGAGUGGCGGACGGGUGAGUAAUGUCUGGGAAACUGCCUGAUGGAGGGGGAUAACUACUGGAAACGGUGGCUAAUACCGCAUAACGUCGCAAGACCAAAGAGGGGGACCUUCGGGCCUCUUGCCAUCAGAUGUGCCCAGAUGGGAUUAGCUUGUUGGUGAGGUAACGGCUCACCAAGGCGACGAUCCCUAGCUGGUCUGAGAGGAUGACCAGCCACACUGGAACUGAGACACGGUCCAGACUCCUACGGGAGGCAGCAGUGGGGAAUAUUGCACAAUGGGCGCAAGCCUGAUGCAGCCAUGCCGCGUGUAUGAAGAAGGCCUUCGGGUUGUAAAGUACUUUCAGCGGGGAGGAAGGUGUUGUGGUUAAUAACCACAGCAAUUGACGUUACCCGCAGAAGAAGCACCGGCUAACUCCGUGCCAGCAGCCGCGGUAAUACGGAGGGUGCAAGCGUUAAUCGGAAUUACUGGGCGUAAAGCGCACGCAGGCGGUCU
rnacentral:rRNA from 1 species